rnacentral:rRNA from 1 species
GACGUAGGGCGCGAGCGUUGUCCGGAUUUAUUGGGCGUAAAGAGCUCGUAGGCGGCUUGUCGCGUCGGCCGUGAAAACUUGGGGCUCAACCCCAAGCCUGCGGUCGAUACGGGCAGGCUCGAGUUCGGUAGGGGAGACUGGAAUUCCUGGUGUAGCGGUGAAAUGCGCAGAUAUCAGGAGGAACACCGGUGGCGAAGGCGGGUCUCUGGGCCGAUACUGACGCUGAGGAGCGAAAGCGUGGGGAGCGAACAGG